CUUCUUGUGACCAUAACUUUCUGCUCUUUCUAUCCAGAUAGGUGUGCAGACUCCUGAAUAUAGCAUUUGGGCAGGCAGGCAUUCAAGAUCAUUUAGCACUAGCACUUGUGAUCAAGCCUAGCUGCUAUUCUGACUGACCCUGUUCAUUGGAUCACAAAAGGAGAACACUAUUCUUUUUUCUUUCCCCUUUGUGAAUACCUCCUAGAGCAAGAGAAAAAGGGCUCUGUUUCUUUCUCUUUGUAAAGUGAUGUCUUUGUCUGUAGGUGAUUCCUUACCUCUGAUAUUUGAUAUUUUGAUACCCCUUCAGAGUUUAUAUAAUAUUUUAAAGUGCACUUAAUCCUGAUAAUAGCCAUGAGUGAGAAGCGGGUUACAAAUUAUUACCUUCAUCAUAUAGAGAACACCAAGGCUCUGAGAAGCUAAUGAACUUAAGAUGACAGAAUCAGUAAAUGGCAUAGCUGGAAGUUGAAAAUUGGAUGCCUAACUCCAAAAUAUGGCAGUUAUUUGGAGACAAAUUCCACCAUUAAUAUGCAAUAUCAGAGAGAAGACUAUAGUCAUUGAUGGCACCUGACUACUUCAUGGAGGAGAUGUCAAUUUUCAAAGAGAAAAUAAGACUUGGAAUUGACAGGACACAGCACAAUCAAGUUCUAGUCAUGGUACCAUGAGCAAUGUGGCCCUUGGCUUUUUGUGUAACUUUGUACCUGGCAUCUACUCUGGGCAUAGCCUGCACUAGGAUCUAAGGGAAUGGGGAGAGAAUGCCAGCAGAGUCUCUUCAAGGCCUUUGGGGGAGGAGCUCAAAUGGUCUAUAUCUUUACAAAGGCUCUGAGGACAUACAUAGAAGAGUGUAUUCAUGAAGAACAAGAGAACAUAGAAAGGACAUAACAUGAAUUUCAUGGUAUCAUGAGCACUAACACAAUAGGCCAGAGUGCUCAUCUUGGAACAAUAAAAAGUGAAUCAUUUGUCCUAGAUUUCUGCACUGCCUUUGAUCCACUUCUCCAUGGGCUUCAAUUCUGGAUUUUCACCACAUCCUCCUGGAUUCUAUGGGUAAAGAUGAUUACUGAAUACUUACAGGGUAUUUGUGAUAAGUUUGUUGAUAGCACUUCAGCCUGCUUAUUACAUCAACUGCAAUCUGUCCAGGCAGAAUUAGAUUAUGAGGGGCUGCCAUCCUGACAUUUAAACACCCUUCAAAUGAAAAUGGGUCAAGGCCAGAUAAUGCAGGAACUUGUUUGCAUUAACAAGGAUUUGGAAUUAUAUACCGAGAGAAAUGAUUAAAGACUUUGAAGCAGAGGAAAUGUGACCUGAUCAGAUUUGAUUUUUCAAAAUGGCAUUAUGACUACAGGAGAAAAAAGACUUGGAGAAGAUUAAAAACUGACAUAAUAAAACUAAGUAGGAGACGUAGGUCA
rnacentral:lncRNA from 12 species